rnacentral:lncRNA from 10 species
UGCCUGGAGUGAAGAUUCUGCCCAUUGGUCAAGAGACCUCCCUCUCAGAUGCUGGCUCUGCCCCUGCCUUUGGGGGUCGACCCUUGUACUCGCAGGACCUUAGGUGACUCUAUUCUACUUCUCUGAUCAUCCAGGAAGCCAACCUGCCUGAGGACGAGUCAUACUCUGUCCUCCCACCCCAGGCCAGAGAGUGGUAUCUGUCUUUCCACAAGUUGGAUCUGAAUGAUGCAGUGUCGCAAUCCCAUUUUAUAAAUGAGGCAACCAAAACUCGAACAGGACCAUAUUGCGACUGAAACAAGGCAUAACAGGUCUUUGACUGGCUAUCCUGUGGAUGUGGACUCAGGCUAGCCUGCGCAAAGUGAAAGACAGGCAAUUAGAUUGAAAAAUACCUGUGAUUCAAAGAAGUCACAAGUCACAGAGACAAACUUUUCCCAGUGUGUUCGAGUCAGAGAACCUUUGCAAAGACCAACAGGCUAAAAGAGAAAAUACAAUGUCAUCUUGAUGCAGAUGAGCAGGUAACCAUGGAAGUCGUGAGCUGAGGCUGCAGAGUCUAGAGCCAGAGUGUGGAAUAAACUUGGGUCUCAAAUCACCCCUGGAGCAAAGCACCCAUCUAAUCAGGAACUUCUACUUUCAACUUUACAUGCGUGAGAAAUGAACUUCUAUCAUGUUAGAGAAAUCCUUACACGGCGCCCUUGAGAGCUUUCAUACUGCAAGUCAUCCAUUUUCCUCCCCUCAAACCUGGCAUCGGAGUUUAUUGAAACAAAGCAAAAUAAAA